rnacentral:rRNA from 1 species
GACAGAGGGGGCAAGCGUUGCUCGGAAUUACUGGGCGUAAAGGGUGCGUAGGCGGGUCUUUAAGUCAGGGGUGAAAUCCUGGAGCUCAACUCCAGAACUGCCUUUGAUACUGAAGAUCUUGAGUUCGGGAGAGGUGAGUGGAACUGCGAGUGUAGAGGUGAAAUUCGUAGAUAUUCGCAAGAACACCAGUGGCGAAGGCGGCUCACUGGCCCGAUACUGACGCUGAGGCGCGAAAGCGUGGGGAGCAAACAGG